rnacentral:rRNA from 1 species
UACAGAGGGGGCAAGCGUUAUUCGGAAUUAUUGGGCGUAAAGGGCGCGUAGGCGGCCUGCUAAGUCACACGUGAAAUCCCUCGGCUCAACCGGGGAACUGCGUCUGAUACUGGUUGGCUUGAGUGCAGGAGAGGAACGCGGAAUUCCAGGUGUAGCGGUGAAAUGCGUAGAUAUCUGGAGGAACACCGGUGGCGAAGGCGGCGUUCUGGACUGCAACUGACACUGAGGAGCGAAAGCCAGGGGAGCAAACGGG